rnacentral:rRNA from 1 species
UACGUAGGGUGCGAGCGUUAAUCGGGAAUUACUGGGCGUAAAGUGUGCGCAGGCGGCCGAGCAAGUCGAGUGUGAAAGCCCCGAGCUUAACUUGGGAACUGCGCUCGAAACUACUUGGCUAGAGUGUGGCAGAGGGAGGUGGAAUUCCACGUGUAGCGGUGAAAUGCGUAGAGAGUGUGGAGGAACACGAUGGCGAAGGCAGCCCUCCUGGGCCAACACUGACGCUCAUGCACGAAAGCGUGG